AAUUUAUAUAGUUUAAAUAAAACCUUACAUUUUCAAUGUAAAAAUGAAAAUAUUCUAUAAAU
rnacentral:tRNA from 1 species